GUGGGAGGAAGCUCACUCCAGAGGUCACAAACUGAGUGUCCAUCACUCCACCCACAACCUCGGGGAAGGUCUGAGACAAGAGCCAAUCACUGCCCUCGCAGGGUGUCACCUGAUCCAGGUGAGUGAGGACCCAGAGAAGCUGGAGCUGAUGGAGGUUCAGGUAGGAGAAAUCGGGUGGUGCAGGAACAGCACUGCUGAUGGAGACGAACCGACACCGGCUUGGAAAGAAUCACGGCUGGAAACAGAGUUCAAUGUGUGAGCUGGAGUUCACCCUCCAGAACCCAAUUCAGACUACUCUCCUCUCAC
ensembl:ribozyme RNaseP_nuc Nuclear RNase P